rnacentral:tRNA from 5 species
GCGCCCGUAGCUCAGUCGGAUAGAGCAACGGCCUUCUAAGCCGUCGGUCGAAGGUUCGAAUCCUUCCGGGUGCGCCA